UACGGAGGGUGCAAGCGUUAAUCGGAAUUACUGGGCGUAAAGCGCACGCAGGUGGCUGAGUCAGUCGAUUGUGAAAGCCCUGGGCUUAACCUGGGAAUUGCAGUCGAUACUACUCAGCUAGAGUAUGGGAGAGGGUAGUGGAAUUCCCGGUGUAGCGGUGAAAUGCGUAGAUAUCGGGAGGAACAUCAGUGGCGAAGGCGGCCUCCUGGCUCGAUACUGACGCUGAGGUGCGAAAGCGUGGGGAUCAAACAGG
rnacentral:rRNA from 1 species